UACGUAGGGGGCAAGCGUUGUCCGGAAUCAUUGGGCGUAAAGAGCGUGUAGGCGGCCAGAAAAGUCCGCUGUGAAAACUCGAGGCUCAACUUCGAGCUGUCGGUGGAAACUUUCUGGCUAGGGUCCGGAAGAGGAGAAUGGAAUUCCUGGUGUAGCGGUGAAAUGCGCAGAUAUCAGGAGGAACACCAAUGGCGAAGGCAGCUCGCUGGGACGUGACUGACGCUGAGACGCGAAAGCGUGGGGAGCAAACAGG
rnacentral:rRNA from 1 species